rnacentral:rRNA from 1 species
CCUGGUUGAUCCUGCCAGUAGUCAUAUGCUUGUCUCAAAGAUUAAGCCAUGCACGUGUAAGUAUGAACGAAUUCAGACUGUGAAACUGCGAAAGGCUCAUUAAAUCAGUUAAAGUUUGUUUGAUGGUAACUACUACUCGGAUAACCGUAGUAAUUCUAGAGCUAAUACGUGCAACAAACCCCGACUUCUGGAAGGGAUACAUUUAUUAGAUAAAAGGUCGACGCGGGCUGUGCCCGUUGCUCUGAUGAUUCAUGAUAACUCGACGGAUCGCAUGGCCUUAGUGCUGGCGACGCAUCAUUCAAAUUUCUGCCAUGUCAACUUUUGAUGGUAGGAUAGUGGCCUACCAUGGUGGUAACGGGUGAUGGAGAAUUAGGGUUCGAUUCCGGGGAGGGAGCCUGAGAAACGGCUACCACAUCCAAGGAAGGCAGCAGGCGUGCAAAUUACCCAAUCCUGACACGGGGAGGUAGUGACAAUAAAUAACAAUACCUGGCUCUUUGAGUCUGGUAAUUGGAAUGAGUACAAUCUAAAGCCCUUAACGAGGAUCUACUGGAGGGCAAGUCUGGUGCCAGCAGCCGCGGUAAUUCCAGCUCCAAUAGCGUAUAUUUAAGUUGUUGCAGUUAAAAAGCUCGUAGUUGAACUUUGGGAUGGGUCGCCCGGUCCGCCUUCGGUGAGCACCGGUCGGCUUGUCUCUUCCGUCGGUGAUAUGCUCCUGGCCUUAACUAGCCAGGUCGUUCCUCCGGUGCUGUUACUUUGAAGAAAUUAGAGUGCUCAAAGCAAGCCAUACUGUCUUCUCUCACUCUAGUAAUGUUAUCGUAAACAGGUAAAGAUCUUGUUCUCUGCAGAUGGCUCCAAUCGUGUCCAAACAUCUCACUGAUUCCAUUUCCGUUAUUCUUAUCUGAUCUGUAACUCAAUCCUCUGCCUGUCCAAUCCAUACCCUCUCCCCAUAUCCGACCUCGUCCAUCAUCACCUGUCCCGCGAUUAGCCAUCUGCACACAAUCAAAAGGGUAAGUCAUAAUCCUACUACGGGAAGCGGCUGGUUUCCUAAUCAUCAUUUUGCGACUCCUUUGACUCUAUAAAAUCGUUAAAAAGCACUUGUGUCACGCAUGGACGAAACCAUGCUCUGAUACCACCUCUGUAACACCCCCGAACCAUUUUAGGCAUUGGUCGAACCACCGGCCAACAAUCAAAGAAGAACAUGACCGAUGGCCCGACCGUCUACCAAGGUUCAGGAGCGCUACAUGAUGGGUUAACGGGAAAUCCAGCCAAAGUUACAAAAAGUGCAAUUCGUAACUAGACCAGGCCGCCCACUAACACGUCCCAUCAGACAAAAGCCUAAGGCUUCUCAACCCGUACUCCAAUCUGACGUUGUGUUAGCUCGGACAAGCUAAUAUCAGAACAACCAGGCAUUUUCACAAAACAUUCACUUUAUUUAUCUUAUAUAAUAUCUGGUUUACAAUACACAAAAUAUUAUACAAGUGGUGCAUGCCAAGAAAGCGAAAGUACAUACUUAUAUUCUGAAAGCGUCUUAAGCAAAAAGAUGCAAAUCUACACCAGCCAG